rnacentral:lncRNA from 1 species
AACAUAGGCUACGCAAACAAUAGCUGCUUCCACUGAGUGCAGCGCAAUUGGUGCCAAUGUCCACCGCCCUUCAAGAGGUCUCAGGCUUGAGUCUCACAAAAAGAAGAGUUGUUUCAAGUUUUUGGUCAUCUACUUGGCUAUUGACCUGAGUAGGCGGUAAUAUAAAUUGCAACUGGAGAUAGCUCCAUGUCAGCAAUGGCUUGAUCAGCAGUUUCAGAAGAGUAUGUUGAGAUAAAGGACAAUCCAUCCAGCCAUUGAGAAAAUAGCAAAAAUAUGAACCCAGAAUAGGACAGCAGCAGCU